CCUACGGGUGGCUGCAGUCGAGAAUCAUUCACAAUGGGGGAAACCCUGAUGGUGCGACGCCGCGUGGGGGAAUGAAGGUCUUCGGAUUGUAAACCCCUGUCAUGUGGGAGCAAAUUAAAAAGAUAGUACCACAAGAGGAAGAGACGGCUAACUCUGUGCCAGCAGCUGCGGUAAUACAGAGGUCUCAAGCGUUGUUCGGCAUCACUGGGCGUAACGCGUGCGGAGGCUGUUUCGUAAGUCGUGUGUGAAAGGUGCGGGCUCAACCCGCGGACGGCACAUGAUACUGCGAGACUAGAGUAAUGGAGGGGGAAGCGGAAUUCUCGGUGUAGCAGUGAAAUGCGUAGAUAUCGAGAGGAACACUCGUGGCGAAGGCGGGUUCCUGGACAUUAACUGACGCUGAGGCACGAAGGCCAGGGGAGCGAAAGGGAUUAGAUACCCUUGUAGUC
rnacentral:rRNA from 1 species